UGCGUAGGUGGCAAGCGUUAUCCGGAAUUAUUGGGCGUAAAGCGCGCGUAGGCGGUUUCUUAAGUCUGAUGUGAAAGCCCACGGCUCAACCGUGGAGGGUCAUUGGAAACUGGGAAACUUGAGUGCAGAAGAGGAAAGUGGAAUUCCAUGUGUAGCGGUGAAAUGCGCAGAGAUAUGGAGGAACACCAGUGGCGAAGGCGACUUUCUGGUCUGUAACUGACGCUGAUGUGCGAAAGCGUGGGGAUCAAACAGG
rnacentral:rRNA from 1 species